CCUACGGGGGGCAGCAGUGGGGAAUAUUGGACAAUGGGGGGAACCCUGAUCCAGCCAUGCCGCGUGUGUGAAGAAGGCCCUCGGGUUGUAAAGCACUUUCAGUGAGGAAGAACGCCUGGUGGUUAAUACCCAUCAGGAAAGACAUCACUCACAGAAGAAGCACCGGCUAACUCCGUGCCAGCAGCCGCGGUAAUACGGAGGGUGCGAGCGUUAAUCGGAAUUACUGGGCGUAAAGCGCGCGUAGGUGGCUUGAUAAGCCGGUUGUGAAAGCCCCGGGCUCAACCUGGGAACGGCAUCCGGAACUGUCAAGCUAGAGUGCAGGAGAGGAAGGUAGAAUUCCCGGUGUAGCGGUGAAAUGCGUAGAGAUCGGGAGGAAUACCAGUGGCGAAGGCGGCCUACUGGACUGACACUGACACUGAGGUGCGAAAGCGUGGGUAGCAAACAGGAUUAGAUACCCUAGUAGUC
rnacentral:rRNA from 1 species